CAACGAGCGCAACCCUUAAGCUUAGUUGCCAUCAUUAAGUUGGGCACUCUAAGUUGACUGCCGGUGACAAACCGGAGGAAGGUGGGGAUGACGUCAAAUCAUCAUGCCCCUUAUGAUUUGGGCUACACACGUGCUACAAUGGACAAUACAAAGGGCAGCGAAACCGUGAGGUCAAGCAAAUCCCAUAAAGUUGUUCUCAGUUCGGAUUGUAGUCUGCAACUCGACUACAUGAAGCUGGAAUCGCUAGUAAUCGUAGAUCAGCAUGCUACGGUGAAUACGUUCCCGGGUCUUGUACACACCGCCCGUCACACCACGAGAGUUUGUAACACCCGAAGCCGGUGGAGUAACCUUUUAGGAGCUAGCCGUCGAAGGUGGGACAAAUGAUUGGGGUGAAGUCGUAACAAGGUAGCCGUAUCGGAAGGUGCGGCUGGAUCACCUCCUUUCUAAGGA
rnacentral:rRNA from 1 species